CAACACGCGCACGCACUCACGCACACGAGCAUACACACCUGCGUUGGCGGGCGAGCAGGCUAGCCGCGAAGGCUGGACAGAUCGCACACGCCAGCACUCACAAGCAUACAAGCACAAGGUGCUGGAGAGAAGCCAGUGGGUAGUUUCAGGCAUGCAGCCGCAUCCGUCAUGGCGUGUCUACGUCGGCGAUGACGUCGACGUUGGCGGUACUGGUGGUACUGCUGCCGCUGCUGCGGACCAGACGAACACUCACGCAUCGCCCAACAUGGAGGAGGAUGUGGCGCGCUUGCUCGACUCGGCGUUCGCGCGGCGUGCCCGCUAUACCCUACAGACCCUCCCAGCGAGGAUUCGCCAGCAGCCAUCUGCCGCGCCGUCCCCCGUGCUGCGCUGGCUGCUGCAGCACAGUGUGGACGAAGGGCAGAGAAAGAAGGAGCAGGCAGGAACGGCGCCCGGUGCGACGGACAAACCUAGUGCCACUCCUGCGUCUGCGCUGUCGCCCACCGUUGCUGCAACAUCAGGAUGCGUUUCGGCAGCAGCAGCAGCGACGUCAGCGCUAGCGCGCCGCGGUGUCGGACCGAAGGACCCGCUGGUUCAGCGCCUCCUGAAGAAGCAGCAGAAGACAGCUUCGUCUGCGUCCGCAGCAACGUCAGCCACGUCCGCCGCGCCAAGCAGUGCCACGAGUGCCACCGCCUCAACCGUUAUCAGCGGCAGCACAACCGCGUCCAUGUCGUGUGCCUCGCACUGGACGCAACGCCCCUUCUCUGCCAUGACGUCCACCAGCUGGAAGGUAUUCCGGCAGCAGCUGGGCAUCACCGUCGAGCUGGUGGCGCCUGCGCAGCCGCCCACAGAGACCAGCGGCGCCAGCGCCGCACAGCCAAGCAGUUUUGUCAAGACGUUGCCGCCAGCCGACACGCUACCGGCGAUCCGCUGCUGGGAGGAAGCCCAGCUGCCGCUUUCGCUUGGCCUGUGCGUCACGCACGCGUACGCGCUGCCGACGGCGGUGCAGGCGCAGUGCGUGCCGCUCGCACUUCUCCCGCGGCCCGCGCCUUUGGUCACGGGCACGAACAGUGGCGGUGUGGCUGGUGCGGCUACGGCGACGGUGCUUGGCAUGGACAUCCUCGCAGUAGCGGAGACCGGUAGCGGCAAGACCGCGGCGUACCUCGUGCCGCUGCUGCACCACGUGCUGUGCCGCGCACCGAAGCUGCUGGGCCACCCCGACCGGAUCUCACUGGGGCCGCUGAGCUUGGUGAUUGUGCCGACGCGUGAGCUGGCAGAGCAGGUGACGGCGUCCUUUCUGCAGUUGUGCGGCCAGGCGCCGGCUGCCUCCAUGUACAACAGCGGCGGGGGCCACAUCUCGCAGGACACCAUCCGCGCCUGGGAGACGCACGAGUUGGAUGUGAGUGGCGCCAGUGGUCACGAUCGUGCGUCCUCUGUGGCCGCGGCGGGGGCGGCGCGAAACCAUCUCAGCGAGCUGCGCGUGGUCAAGGUGGUUGGUGGCGAGAAUCGCGAUGCUCAGUACGCCGCCCUGGCACGCGGCGCGCACUGCGUCGUCGGCACGGUGGGCCAGCUGCAAGUACUUCUCGAGGACCGCCUGCUCUCGCUCGGCAACACGCAGUUCGUCGUGAUGGACGAGGCAGAUCGGAUGAUCGAUGAGCAGCAGGAGGAGCGGCUUACUGCAGUCCUAGAGCGGUGCCCGCAGCCGCGGCAGACAGUCAUGUUCACAGCGACGCUGAGCGUGGCCUGCGCGGCAGUGGCGAAGCGCUACCUCGCCAAGGCCGGCUAUUACCUGGUGCGCACACCGUACCGGUGCGCCUCGAUCCGCCAGUCCUUCGAGCUGGUCGCCGACACCGGCGCCUCAGUCACGGGGACUGCAGAGGACCCCGUCCCCGCCGCGUCUGGCGCUGCCACAGCGACGGCAGAGGGGCGGCAAAAGAAGCCGUCUCGGCAACAAGGACACACCGAGAAGGGCGAACCGCAACCGCCGCAGCGGCAGCGUCUGCUGCACCCUCUUAUACACGCCCAGAAGUUUGUGCGGUUGGUGGCGUGGCUCGUCUACGGCACCGGCCCGAUCAUCGUCUUCGCCAACGAAAAGUCGACGUGCGACGCGCUGUGGGAGGAGCUGCGUGCCGAGGCGGAGCACCUGGACGCACAGCAGGAAUACUACACAAUCGAGGACAUUGUCGGCCCGCCGCCGGACGGCUUGUCGUUUCGCGAAGACACCGCAGUUGGUCAAGGGGCAACGUCGUCCAGCGUGGCGGCGCGGCGCACGCCGACGUUGGCGAACCUAACCUCCGUUGCCGUGGUGCACUCGGAGCUGUCGCAGACGGAGCGGCGCUCUCUCGUGGCGCAGUUCCAGCGGCGUCAGCGGCACGUUCUCAUCACGACAGACCUUCUCGCUCGUGGCCUUGACGUGGCGGGGGUGACGCUUGUGAUCAACUACGACGUGCCGUGGGCCGCCUCUGCCUCGCCGAGCGACGCUGUGACGCUCUACAUCCACCGCAUCGGGCGUACCGGCCGUGCAGGCUCCACCGGCGUCGCCGUCACUUUCGUGACGUUGCCUGCCGCGAUGGUACAACGGGCCGAGGAGGUGGCGAGGGAGGAGGCGAGGGACGCUGCGCCGAAGCCGCCUGAAGGCCGCACGAAACCGCCCAGCGCAGCACCCCGCGUGUAUGGCGACGAGGAUGACGACCUCGCCGCCCUCGGUGAGCUCUUCGACGGCGACACGCGUAAUGUCUGUAUGGCAGGGGCAGCGGCGCUAUCCACCACUGCCGCAGAUAAUGCCAGCGGCCGUCGUCGCCGCCGCGGUGACGACGACAGCGACGACACAGAAGUGGACAGCAGCAACGACAGCGAUGACGACAACGAUGAUGAGGACACCAAGAAGGAGGGCGCCACCGGAAAUACGAGCAACACCGCGAAUCACAACGGCAAUGGCAUGCGGAAGCCGCCGAGGAAGCGCCGCAAGCGCUCGGUCGCCACCUUCGCCAGCGACGUCGCGGUGCUGCGGCCCCUCUGGUCCUUCCUCGUCGAGUGUGCCGAGGGCGAGGGAUGCCGCGAUGGAGCGGCGGCGCUGCGGCGCGGCACAUACGCAAAGAUCAGUGUUCCGGCGGCGCUGGGGUGCAUCAUGGCGCAGCUCUCUGCCACCUCCCAGUACGGCCGCAUUACCCUGUGACAAGUGGGUGUGGAGGGCGUGUGCGCACUUGCACACAGCCCCCCCCCACCACCACCACCCACCCACGCACCUCUCCCUCCCAAACCUUCCUUACACUGUUGAAGGAGUCGUCGCGCCUUGGCCGGAGAAGAGCCGGGGUGCGACAGCGGCGCGGAGGAUACGGUUGGUCGGAGCUCUUCUCGUGCGCGCAGCGCCCACUCACAAC
rnacentral:misc_RNA from 1 species